GGGGAACUGAAGAUGACGGAAGAGUUUCCUUUGUCAAACGCGACUGAUGGAAUUGGAGAACUGUGAGACCACCGGAGAUGAUGAAUGCAUGAAGAGGAGGAUGAUGGACGAGGCCCAUCUGGAUUACAUCUACACACAGCACCACAAGCCAUAGAAGAAUGGAUGAUCAGCCAACUACCCUAUUUCAUUAUAAAAAGUAUGCACCAGUGUUUGGAUCGGAGAUUCCGAGAUGCUUCCCAACAAAUCUUAUCAUAGUAAUCACCUUAUAAACUACAUAUAUAUAUAUAUAUAUAUCAAUAUACAUAUAGAUUUAUGUAAGGAUGUUCUGGCUAGCUGUCACUGGAGCUGGUUUAAUUAAUUUAAGGUGGUGUGUCUUGUC